AUUGAACGCUGGCGGAAUGCUUUACACAUGCAAGUCGAACGGCAGCACGGGUGCUUGCACCUGGUGGCGAGUGGCGAACGGGUGAGUAACAUAUCGGAACGUAUCCAAUAAUGGGGGAUAACUAAUCGAAAGGUUGGCUAAUACCGCAUACGCCCUACGGGGGAAAGCUAGGGACCUUCGGGCCUGGCGUUAAUGGAGCGGCCGAAAUCUGAUUAGCUAGUUGGUGGGGUAAGAGCCCACCAAGGCGACGAUCAGUAGCUGGUCUGAGAGGACGACCAGCCACACUGGGACUGAGACACGGUCCUGACUCCUACGGGAGGCAGCAGUGGGGAAUUUUGGACAAUGGGCGCAAGCCUGAUCCAGCCAUUCCGCGUGAGUGAAGAAGGCCUUCGGGUUGUAAAGCUCUUUCGCAAGGGAAGAAAACUUAGCCUCUAACAUAGGCUGAGGUUGACGGUACCUUGAUAAGAAGCACCGGCUAACUACGUGCCAGCCGCCGCAGUAAUAC
rnacentral:rRNA from 1 species